AAGUUUGAGGUUUAUGGCGCAUACUCAAAGAUAUGGGAGUAAGAAGAUGGUCUACUUGCCAUUCAAAUGGGGAAAGAAUUCGCCUAAUGGUGAAUUGGGAGUAUAGGAUGAAAUCUGGGUUCUUCUCAGAAUAUACAUGCUCAAUUUCAAUCGAAUCCGUAUCUACUAGAAUGGCCUCAUAGUAUAAACGGGUAUGCAGG
rnacentral:lncRNA from 1 species